GGAAUUUGUCACGAGAUUUCGGGAUGAUUCCUGGAUUGGACUGAGUGAUCGCAACACAGAGGGGACCUGGAAGUGGGUGGAUGGUACCAACUUGACUUCAACUGUCUGGCUGCCUGGUGAACCAAACGACUUCUAUGGAGCAGAAGACUGUGCUUUAGCUAAGGAAGGCGGUUGGAACGAUGAUACGUGUGCCAAGCUUUUCUCCUGGAUCUGCGAGAAGAAGGUCGUAGUUCUGGAUCAUCUGGAUGCUGAACUGAAGAAACAGGUGACGCACAAGGAGCAAGAGGAGGCCCCCCACAUCAUAAGCCCCCCCUCCACCAAGACCGUGUCCGUGGGCGACACAGCCCAAUUCUCCUGCCAUGCCAGGGGCCAGCCAGAGCCCACCAUCCAGUGGCUAUACAACGGCCGGCCCCUGAAGAGGGGCAGGGAAGACCAAUCACAGCCUGCGGUCUUGGGGGACAGGGGGGGAUCUUGUCGUCAAAGGUGUGAGGCCUGGUGUGGACACGGUGAGCUGCGUAGCCAACAACAGCGCUGGCACGGCCAAUCACACCACUGAGCUGCUUGUCUUUGCUAAG